rnacentral:lncRNA from 1 species
CAUUUGCCCUGAGUACAGCUUCCCAUGAUUUUUGAUAACUGUAGUUGCUUUCCACCUGUCCCCUGGUAUGUGCUCUGCAGUUCUCUGCUCCCUGCACAUGGAGCGUGGAUAACAUCCACCAAUCAGCCAUGAGAUGCCUCACUGUUUUGAGUCUGGGCUGCGCAGGGACCCAUCUCCUUGCAGGUGACUCCAAACUCCUUAGAGUUUUUCUCAGAAUCUGCCACCCUACCCACCCCAACUCUCGGCUCCUGAAUACAACCUGCUUCCAACACCUCGUCAGCCUGGCUGAUGUUUGUCGAGGGAAACAAAUUGAAGUGGAGUGGCACUGCUUCCUGCCCUCCUUGCUGUGGACCCGGAGGCCACUGUCAGCUGGACCCCAGACCUGUGCUGGGCAGAGCCUCUGAAUGGCCAAGAUGGGCAAGCCACCUUUUCCUGGGCCAGACUGGAAGUUUCCUAAACAUCACGAACCUCUGCUGACCUUCAGUGCCAUGAACCCUUCCCCCAGACCACCCAUGUCCUAAGAGGCUGCUCCUAGUCCCUCUCUUAUAAUCCUUCUUGUUAGCACCAAUCACCCCUCCAUGAGGGGCUGGGGUAGAGCUCAAGCUUUGCUCUCAACCCAGAAGCCCUUCCUCUUUGUCCCUGACUAGAAAAUUCUUCUCAUGCUUCCGUCCCAGCUCAGACAUUGUUGCCUUCACUUCUCUUGGUCCAGGCCACUCUCCUGCCCCAUACAGUACACUCUGCUGAGGACUUUGGCCCUUGGGCUUACUCUUCAAGAUGUUGCAACAAAAAUACCAUAGCCUGGAUAAUCAUAAAUAACAGAGGUCGAUUUCUCAUGGUUCUGGAGGCUGAGAAGUCCAAGAUCAAGGGAAAAUACAGUGUUGAUACUAUUGGCCACCAUUUCUAAUAUAUAUAUAUGUUUUGUUCUAUUGAGACAAAGUCUCACUAUGUAGUUCAGGCUGUUUUGAACUCACUGUGUAGCCCAGGCUGGCCUCAAACUCACAGAGAUCCUCCUGCCUCAGUCCCGCCAACAGGUGUGUGCCACUAUGCCCAGCUAGCCCCCAUUUAUCGAGCACUUCCUAUUGCUUGGCCCAUAGGAGGGAUUCGAAUGAGGAAAUGGAUUCAGACAGCUCAGGUGACUCAAACAGCAACCAAGUCAGUUUGGCUCCAAAGUCUGGGCCUAAGCUCUGCCCUCCACAUGACGCAGAACCUAGCAGGCAGGCGUGGUUGCAUCAUUUACUUCCAUAGCAGGAAACUGCUAUGUCAGGGCUCUCAGCCCUGCCAGCUGGAUGUGGCUGUAGAAUGCUGGCAUUGGGAUGGGAUUCGGGGACUGUGUGGCCUUUUGGUUCACGCAGCAGCAGUGGCCCAGCAUCGUGUGGUCAGCAGAGGACCUUAA